rnacentral:rRNA from 1 species
CCUACGGGUGGCAGCAGUGAGGAAUAUUGGUCAAUGGCCGCAGGGCUGAACCAGCCAAGUCGCGUGAGGGAUGACGGUCCUAUGGAUUGUAAACCUCUUUUGUCAGGGAGCAAAGGGCGCCACGUGUGACUCAUUGAGAGUACCCGAAGAAAAAGCAUCGGCUAACUCCGUGCCAGCAGCCGCGGUAAUACGGAGGAUGCGAGCGUUAUCCGGAUUUAUUGGGUUUAAAGGGUGCGCAGGCGGAGGUGCAAGUCAGCGGUCAAAUUGCGGGGCUCAACCCCGUACUGCCGUUGAAACUGCAGCCCUUGAGUGCGCGAGAAGUAGGCGGAAUGCGUGGUGUAGCGGUGAAAUGCAUAGAUAUCACGCAGAACUCCGAUUGCGAAGGCAGCAUACCGGCGCGCAACUGACGCUCAUGCACGAAAGCGUGGGUAUCGAACAGGAUUAGAUACCCCAGUAGUC